rnacentral:lncRNA from 1 species
UCUGAUCUUAGUGUAAGAUUGAAAUUGCAUUGGGUAGGUAUUAAGUGAUAGGGUUAAACAGUUGGUUUAAGGUCUGAAUUAAUACUACUAAUAGUGGAUUUCCUCCCUGGCUUGGUAGCCCCCAGACGUAGGUCAUGUUGGACCGAACUGGGUAAAUAAUUACUUGUGUUAUUUACUGCACUUACAUUUUAAGUUCUGCAUAAU